rnacentral:misc_RNA from 1 species
UCGUACAACUGAGGUGCAAGGGCUGUCGCUGACCUUCAAGGGUCGUGCACGCCCAAGCCCUCUCACACAUCCAUCUCACCCCUUUGUGCAUCACCGCGUGGGCCCCCCUUUGCAGGAGGGCUUGCGUUUUCACAUAAAACUCGAUACAGUGUAGAAUGUUUCUUUUGCGGUCACACGCAAUCAAUA